GCUGCAUUGUUUGGGAGUCCUGCUGAAUUCUUGCAAGGAAUACAGCCCGGCAGCUCAUAUUAGAGAUAAAGCUGCCCUUUUCUCAACACUUGUUGUGGGUCUUCAGCUGCCAAGUGAAGAGAUUCGAGGGGAGAUAAUGUUUGUGCUGUAUAAGAUGUCCCUUCAACAGGCCACUCCAUGGGAUGAUGAGAACAACCAUGAUAUUGAUCUUUCAUCAAAAGGAAAUUCCUUACUGCAACUUUCACUUGAAGCUUUGCUCAAGACCCAAAAGGAUGAUGUUCGCAUAAAUUGUGUAGCACUGCUGAUGGUGUUAGCCCGGAGAGGUGUAUUCGAUAACUCUUUUGAAAAUGAUCAAAUUGGAGGCUUUAAUAAAGAAAUAGAUAAGCCGAUUCAUGGAGAUGAAGUAGUCUUUUCUUCACCUCUUAUUGAAAUGUUUGCUGAUGCUAUUAAAGCUCCUCUGCUUUCUUCUGAUAGUCAACUACAAACCAGCACCUUGGACUUGAUCUUUCAUAUCUUUUCAUCUGGUGCUACUUGUUUGAAGAAAAUUCAAGCUCUUGUUGAAAAUAACAUUGCAGAUUAUGUUUUUG